AUCACUUCUUGGCCUUUUGGCUAAGAUCAAGUGUAGCAUCUGUUCUUAUCAGUUUAAAAGAUCUUUGCACUCCUAGGUCAAGCCACACAUUGUCAUCUUGUGUGGUUUUUUUAAAAUAUUUGAUUUAUUUUAGAGAGAGAGAGAGUGCGU
rnacentral:snRNA from 1 species